AAACACACAAGCAAAGAUGAAAGCUCAACAAGAAAGCACACAAGCAAUGAUGGCUAUGCUUAACACUAUGAAAUCCGAAAUGGACCGAUUAACACAAGCCUCAAUUAAAGGAAACUCACAGAGUUCUGCGCAAUUGGGUGAAGAUUAAGGCCAUUGCAUAAGCUUCCCUCAUUUUUUGGUAUAUGAGUAUGUCCUGGAA